rnacentral:rRNA from 1 species
AGUGAACGCUGGCGGUAGGCCUAACACAUGCAAGUCGAACGGCAGCACAGUAAUAGCUUGCUCUUACGGGUGGCGAGUGGCGGACGGGUGAGGAAUACAUCGGAAUCUACUUUUUCGUGGGGGAUAACGUAGGGAAACUUACGCUAAUACCGCAUACGACCUACGGUUGAAAGCAUGGGAUCUUCGGACCUUUCGCGAUUGAAUGAGCCGAUGUCGGAUUAGCUAGUUGGCGGGGUAAAGGCCCACCAAGGCGACGAUCCGUAGCUGGUCUGAGAGGAUGAUCAGCCACACUGGAACUGAGACACGGUCCAGACUCCUACGGGAGGCAGCAGUGGGGAAUAUUGGACAAUGGGCGCAAGCCUGAUCCAGCCAUACCGCGUGGGUGAAGAAGGCCUUCGGGUUGUAAAGCCCUUUUGUUGGGAAAGAAAAGCAGCAGGUUAAUACCCCGCUGUUCUGACGGUACCCAAAGAAUAAGCACCGGCUAACUUCGUG